GACGAACGCUGGCGGCGUGCUUAACACAUGCAAGUCGAGCGGACGGACGCGAAGCUUGCUUCUCUGAUGUUUGCGGCGGACGGGUGAGUAACACGUGGAUACCCCACCUAUCUGACUGGGAUAUCUUCGGAACACCGGAGCUAAUACCGGAUAAUCUUUUGAUCCGCAUGGUUCAAUAGUGAAAGUCGGCCUUGCUGUAACUUCUCGCUGGUUCCGCGCUGCAUUAUCUAGUUGGUAAGGUAACGGCUUAUCACGGCGACGAUGCAUAGCCGACCUGACAGGGUGAUCGGCCACACUGGAACUGGAACACGGUCCAGAGUCCUACGGGACGCAGCAGUAGGGAAUCUUCCGCAAUGGUCGAAAGCCUGACGGAGCAACGCCGCGUGAGUGAUGGAGGUCUUCGGAUCGUAAAACUCUGUUAUUAGGGAAGAACAUAUGUGUAAGUAACUGUGCACAGCUUGACGGUACCUAAUCAGAAAGCCACGGCUAACUACGUG
rnacentral:rRNA from 1 species